rnacentral:ncRNA from 1 species
ACUUCAUCCAGAGGGGUAGAGGGUCCGGCCCUGCGAAACCCCGGCAACCGGCGUCGAAGCGCGACCACGUCCUGUGGCAUUCGACGAUCACGGUGCCAAUUCCGGCCCGCACCGCGGGAAAGAUGAGGA